rnacentral:rRNA from 1 species
CAGCCGCCGCGGGAAUACGGAGGGUGCAAGCGUUAUCCGGAUUUAUUGGGUUUAAAGGGUCCGUAGGCGGAUCUGUAAGUCAGUGGUGAAAUCUCACAGCUUAACUGUGAAACUGCCAUUGAUACUGCAGGUCUUGAGUAAAUUUGAAGUGGCUGGAAUAAGUAGUGUAGCGGUGAAAUGCAUAGAUAUUACUUAGAACACCAAUUGCGAAGGCAGGUCACUAAGAUUUAACUGACGCUGAUGGACGAAAGCGUGGGGAGCGAACAGGAUUAGAUACCCCGGUAGUCCCUGUCUCUUAUAC